UACGGAAGGCAGCAGUAGGGAAUCUUCCGCAAUGGACGAAAGUCUGACGGAGCAACGCCGCGUGAACGAUGAAGGCUUUCGGGUCGUAAAGUUCUGUUGUUAGGGAAGAACAAGUACCAGAGUAACUGCUGGUACCUUGACGGUACCUAACCAGAAAGCCACGGCUAACUACGUGCCAGCAGCCGCGGUAAUACGUAGGUGGCAAGCGUUGUCCGGAAUUAUUGGGCGUAAAGCGCGCGCAGGUGGUCCUUUAAGUCUGAUGUGAAAGCCCACGGCUCAACCGUGGAGGGUCAUUGGAAACUGGGGGACUUGAGUGCAGAAGAGGAAAGUGGAAUUCCACGUGUAGCGGUGAAAUGCGUAGAGAUGUGGAGGAACACCAGUGGCGAAGGCGACUUUUCUGGUCUGUAACCGCACUGAGGCGCGAAAGCGUGGGGAGCGAACAGGGAUUAGAUACC
rnacentral:rRNA from 1 species